rnacentral:tRNA from 2 species
CGCGGGGUGGUAGAGGGGAUUUAGACGGGUCAAAUUUCUCAUAACCUGAAGGCCGCAGGUUCAAAUCCUGCCCCCGCAACCA